UCCCGGUUGGCCCGGGCAGUCUCGCAUGAAAAAUACAACAUACGAUAAGGGUUGCGCUCGUUGCGGGACUUAACCCAACAUCUCACGACACGAGCUGACGACGGCCAUGCAGCACCUGUCACCUGGUUCCCGAAGGCACUCCCACGUUUCCGCGGGAUUCCAGGGAUGUCAAGCCUCGGUAAGGUUCUACGCGUACCGUCAUAUUAAACCACAUCCUCCUCUGCUUGUGCGGGUCCCCGUCAAUUCCUUUGAGUUUUAGCCUUGCGGCCGUACUUCCCAGGCGGCAUACUUAUCGCGUUAGCUGCGUCUCACAGGGGGUCGAUACCCCAUAAGACUAGUAUGCAUCGUUUACGGCGUGGACUAC
rnacentral:misc_RNA from 1 species